rnacentral:rRNA from 1 species
GUCAGCUCGUGUCGUGAGAUGUUCGGUUAAGUCCGGCAACGAGCGCAACCCACAUCCUUAGUUGCCAGCAGUUCGGCUGGGCACUCUGGAGAAACUGCCCGUGAUAAGCGGGAGGAAGGUGUGGAUGACGUCAAGUCCUCAUGGCCCUUACGGGUUGGGCUACACACGUGCUACAAUGGCAUCUACAAUGGGUUAAUCCCCAAAAGAUGUCUCAGUUCGGAUUGGGGUCUGCAACUCGACCCCAUGAAGUCGGAAUCGCUAGUAAUCGCGUAACAGCAUGACGCGGUGAAUACGUUCCCGG